AACACUCAUGUGAACAACACAAGGGUUAGGGAGGCUGACACCCUUUGUGGUAAAGAAUCCACGUGUAACUUUUGACUCUCCCCAAACUUAACUACUAAUAAUCUACUGCUGACUGAAAGUUUUAUCAAUAACAGAACCAGUCAAUUAACACCUAUUUUGCAUAUGUAUUACAUACUAAAUCCUUACAAUGAAGUAAGCUAGAGAAAAGAAAACAUUAAGAAAUUCAUAAGGAAGAGAAAAUACAUUUACAGGAUUCUACUCUAUAUAUCAAAAAAAAAAUCUGUGUAUAAGUGAAUUCGUACAAUUCAAACUCAUGUUGUUCAAGGGUCAACUGCAAUAAAAACGGGGAGGAAGACAGUGAAGUGUUUUAAUUAGCUUAAAUGUACUUGACAAUGAACCAUUUAAAAAGAAUAUCCUUUUAUCAAGUGCCAACAUCAGAGAUGCUAGCCAAACCAAAAAGUUACUAAUGCUAUUAAUUUUGUUGCUUUUCUUCCCUCUGAGAAUCAUAAUGAAGAUCAGUGAGGGUAGACUACUCAGAUAUGGUAGGAGUUCAACAGUCACGUGCAUGCACCAAUUCUCAAAGGACUGACACUGAGAAACACAGCUUUUGAGUUAAUAACUGAUAGCUUCUGAGAAGGCAUCAAGAUCCAAAGGCAAAACAGAAAGAGAGAAAACAGAAAAUAAACGACAGCAACAUGCAUUAAAGAAUCAAGGAGAAACUAAGAGAGGAGCAGAAAGACGUGCUUAUGACUGUACACAUUGAAAGUGAACUUUAGGUAAACCUAAGUACAGAUUUUUAAAAAGUGUCUAACAAGGAUUAUAUAUUUAUUUGUCCCAGAAUAAAACUGUUCUCAG